rnacentral:misc_RNA from 1 species
CUCCGUGCUUGCGCAUCGAACGGUUGACACGCUAUCCAGCCCCAGACCCGUGACCCCCCGAGCUGCAAGGCCCGAGGGGAGUGAGUGCCUCCAGUCGUUGUGCUUGCGUUGGAUACCCGUCCGUCCCCCUUCCUUCGAAGAAGGGGGAAGGAUCGGCCCGACAUCGUCCCACGUCCGUCCGACGCCUCGCGAGGGGCUUCUCGGAGGACCAAGAAGCGGCUCCCGCGAUCCGCUCGCGCCGGCACGAUCGGCGAGUUUGGCUCGUGGGACGUCGUUGCUCUCUCGGAUGCGGUGCAUGCCGAGGACUACCGGGGCCUCGGUCCCAGCCCGUCCCGAACGAACGAUUCGAUUAGAUUCUCCUGAGAGACGCUCGCGUCGUCCGACGCCCGCGAGGGCCGGCGCGCGAGAUCUCGCGGAGGGUUGCUACCUGGUUGAUCCUGCCAG